AGAGUUUGAUCCUGGCUCAGGAUGAACGCUGGCGGCGUGCUUAACACAUGCAAGUCGAACGAUGAACCGGUGCUUGCACUGGGGAUUAGUGGCGAACGGGUGAGUAACACGUGAGUAACCUGCCCUUAACUCUGGGAUAAGCCUUGGAAACGAGGUCUAAUACUGGAUAUUGACUUUUCCUCGCAUGGGGAUUGGUUGAAAGAUUUAUUGGUUUUGGAUGGACUCGCGGCCUAUCAGCUUGUUGGUGAGGUAAUGGCUCACCAAGGCGACGACGGGUAGCCGGCCUGAGAGGGUGACCGGCCACACUGGGACUGAGACACGGCCCAGACUCCUACGGGAGGCAGCAGUGGGGAAUAUUGCACAAUGGGCGAAAGCCUGAUGCAGCGACGCCGCGUGAGGGAUGACGGCCUUCGGGUUGUAAACCUCUUUCAGUAGGGAACAAGGCCAGACGUUGUCUGGUUGAGGGUACUUGCAGAAGAAGCGCCGGCUAACUACGUGCCAGCAGCCGCGGUAAUACGUAGGGCGCAAGCGUUAUCCGGAAUUAUUGGGCGUAAAGAGCUCGUAGGCGGUUUGUCGCGUCUGCCGUGAAAGUCCGGGGCUCAACUCCGGAUCUGCGGUGGGUACGGGCAGCGAUGGCGAAGGCAGGUCUCUGGGCAUUAACUGACGCUGAGGAGCGAAAGCAUGGGGAGCGAACAGGAUUAGAUACCCUGGUAGUCCAUGCCGUAAACGUUGGGCACUAGGUGUGGGGGACAUUCCACGUUUUCCGCGCCGUAGCUAACGCAUUAAGUGCCCCGCCUGGGGAGUACGGCCGCAAGGCUAAAACUCAAAGGAAUUGACGGGGGCCCGCACAAGCGGCGGAGCAUGCGGAUUAAUUCGAUGCAACGCGAAGAACCUUACCAAGGCUUGACAUGAACUGGAAACGCUUGGAAACAAGUGCCCCGCUUGCGGUCGGUUUACAGGUGGUGCAUGGUUGUCGUCAGCUCGUGUCGUGAGAUGUUGGGUUAAGUCCCGCAACGAGCGCAACCCUCGUUCUAUGUUGCCAGCACGUAAUGGUGGGGACUCAUAGGAGACUGCCGGGGUCAACUCGGAGGAAGGUGAGGACGACGUCAAAUCAUCAUGCCCCUUAUGUCUUGGGCUUCACGCAUGCUACAAUGGCCGGUACAAUGGGUUGCGAUACUGUGAGGUGGAGCUAAUCCCAAAAAGCCGGUCUCAGUUCGGAUUGGGGUCUGCAACUCGACCCCAUGAAGUCGGAGUCGCUAGUAAUCGCAGAUCAGCAACGCUGCGGUGAAUACGUUCCCGGGCCUUGUACACACCGCCCGUCAAGUCACGAAAGUUGGUAACACCCGAAGCCGGUGGCCUAACCCCCUUGUGGGGAGGGAGCUGUCGAAGGUGGGACUGGCGAUUGGGACUAAGUCGUAACAAGGUAGCCGUACCGGAAGGUGCGGCUGGAUCACCUCCUU
rnacentral:rRNA from 1 species